CAUUUUUAUACAAUUUAAAAUCAAAAAAUCUUUAUAAUUUUUAAUACGAAGCAUUUCUGAAUUUUAAGCAGAUAUUCCAGUCUCUUCUUCUAUUUGUUCUUCUUCUCUACUGUAGCUGAAAAGUUAAGAAGUAGUUCCUCUUCUAAAGCCAUGGCAAUGGAGAACGACAAACCUAAAUUCUUUCAACACGUCGUCGUAAUGAGACCGCAUGACAACUUUGACCCGCUCUGGCCUUCCGCUGCAUCCAGCUGCUCUAGCCUUCGAUCAAAUCUUUUAAUAAAUUAAUGCUGAUUUGGCACCAGAAGGUAAUAGAAUAGUAAAAAAAAAUUAAAAUUAAAAUUAAAAUCUCGUUUACUCGACAAAAGGCAAUACAGUCAUCGAGUCAUAUCUACUCAUUUGGAACUUGCAAACUCACUCUCACACUCAUCCAUUGACAGAUACACCAUUUUCUUUCUCUCUCUCAAAACAAAGAAAUAAGCAUUAUUCAUCCCUUUCUUCUCGCAGAAUUGCCCCUUUCAUUAUAUUUUUUUUCUAACUCAAUUCAACCUAAUCGCUGUUGAAACAACUUGUUUCACAGUCUUCACUGCAAUCGUCGCUUCGCAUCUCGCAGUUUCGCAUCGCAGUCGUGUUGCUUACAUCGUCACAGCAUCUCCAANNN
rnacentral:lncRNA from 1 species